rnacentral:lncRNA from 1 species
UCGUCUUUUUCUACCUUGGUUCGGCGACGGGGAUGGAUUUAUAGCGGCAAUAAGGAGGGCACCAACAGGGAAGUCGACGAUGUGGUCAAGUCGCAGCGAAUAGCAGCACGAAGGGUGUGGUCGUUGCGCAGUGAUAAAAUCCGUUGAACGACGAAUGGCGAUGACGUCGGGCGAGCAGUUACAACAGUGUCAAGCGACAACAAACCAGCAAACCAGGUGGCUGACUUCUCGACGCAUGCAAUAGGAGUUUCGGCGAGGUAUUGCGCAGCACGGUGGCAAGCAGAGAUACACAGCAAUGGCGGGCAACAGCUUACGCGGCGCAGAGUCACAAACGAGGAGUCGACGACGACGGUGGUGCUGCUGCGCGCGUAGGCAGGGGUUCUUGACGAGGUGCUGCGUGGAUGACGAGGCUCCAGCGACGACGUUCGACGCCGACAGGCACGGUUGCUCCGGCGAUGAAGGACACGGUGGUCGGCUCUGCGGGCGACGUACGGCAAGAUAGGAGCGCGCGAGAGGCUAGGAGUCUGGACAGGACUAAAGGGCGUGGCCUCGGCAUUUAUAGAGGGAGGGAGGAAGAUAGAGGGCGCUGGGAGAGAGAAGGGCGCGAUGGCGUCUUCAAGCGCCCUUAAUGGCGACGUUACCAGAGAGAAAUCAGAGAGAGGGAAAGAAGGAAACGGAAGUAUUAACGCGCUGACGAACGGUCACGAAACGUCGGGGGUCGCGGUCGGGCAGGGCACACUCGACUGGGCGCGGGGCUUCGGCGCGCAUGGCGCAGUCUCCUGGGCUGCUCGGGCGUCGAGGGCAGGGGCGCGUCCUUGCGUGUCAGCUCGGCUGCGCGGCCUGGGUCGGGUCGCGGGCGGCCGAGGGGCGGCUGGUGGCCUGAGCGCGCGGGGCGGCUUGGGUGCAGGGGCGGGGCGAUCUGAGCACGGUUGUGAUGUCCAGCGGCGUGAAGGACAAGCGAGCAGUGCGUUGGCCGGAAACGAAACGAUUUGGUGAAGAAAGCUCCUGACAACAUGGGCCCAUAAGUCAUAGGGUAGUAUAGAAUGAGAGAGAACGUGGUUUGGCUUGCAGGGCUAGGAACGAGUGUGCGUGCGUUUUGUUUUUUUUUUCUUUUUUUCUUUUUUAAAUAGAAUAUAUAUAAAUAUGAAUAUAUAUAUAUAUAUUUAAAUAUUUCAAAAUUAUAAUAAAUUCAAAGAUAAUAUUUUAAUAACUAAAAUUUAUAAUGAAUAAUCUUUACGCAAAUUUCUAUUAUUUAAAUAAAUUGAGCUCUAAAAAGGAAUUCAAUAAAAUGAAACUUUCACAAAUACCUACAAACCAAAAAAUAUUAGCAUAUCAAAAUGCAUGUUCCAAAAACACUUAUUUUAAUAGUUCAUUCUUAUUUUAUAAAAUGAGUUUUUUUAUCACAAAACAUAAUCCAAAAAUUGGAUUUGAAAUUCAAAUCAAGCAAAAUACAUGCAUCGACAUGAAUGCAUCAAACACUUGGUAAAAUUUAUCUAUUCAAAAAAUUAUGCGGUUUAAUUAUAUUCCAUUUCAUUAUUUGAAAACACAAAUAUUUCCUUUCUAAUAGAAACUAAAUGAUUAAACUAGGUUUCCUUUAAUUGAUGGAUUUAGGGCGUUACAAAAUCUACCCCUCUUAAAAAGAAUCUCGUCCUCGAGAUUAGGGAAGGCUAGCAAGAAAACAAUGAUGAUAUAUGGUUACUCGUAGGUUCUUGGUUCACAUUGAACUCUUCUAAACUUAAGGAACUUAUUGUUUCUUCGCUUCGCAAUGACUACAAAUCAAGCGAUCUUCAUCAUCGUACUUAUAACUGGUUGGUCUUCUGGAUUAUUGUUUGGGUCUUGCUUCACCGUCUUCUUCUUUAGUUGGUCUAGAUGCUUCUUGGGCACAUUGGCGAAUAAUAUGUCCUUAGGUUCUUGCAGUAGUAGUAAGCACCUCUUGCUUUGAGCACCUUGUGAGCCAACUUUGUUUGACUGGCGACAGAUAAUGGCUAAUUGGGUCUUUGCAUCUUAAACAGUUGAGCCUAAUUUGAUUCUCUUAUUUGGGUAUAGGAAGGAAAGAGAGGAUGAAAAGGUUGAGCAAAGACAGGAUAUAGAGAGUAGAUAAAACCCAACUAUCUAUAGUUUUUCCUAGCUAAUUGAUGCCAUUGUGGACAAAAGUCACACAAUACACCAACAAUCAUUUCAAAGAAGCAAAUCAAACAUGAACACAAAGGACAAUGAACUCAAGCAUACCAGCACAACACAAUCCAAUUCUACUCAUUCAACCAAAACAAAAGGUGAGACAAGGGUUGAAAUAAGAAAGAUAUUAUAAUAUCAAGGAGUUGGGUAAGAAUUAUCAAGGAGUUAGACAAGACAUAUUUGUCGGUGGCCAAUAGUAAAAUAAGAUAAUCAUGAACUAUUAAAGUUAGGAUAAAUGAUACAACCAAGGAUAUAAAGUGAGUUAGGGAGAAAGCAUUAUCAAGGAGUAGAGAGCCAAAGGUUUCAUACAUCAAGGUAGAUAUUGCGCAAGGGUGGCAAUACAAUGGCACGAAAGCAAAAGUAUAAGAAGUCAAGGGUUAUAUAUCAAUAUUAGGGAUUAGAAAACCACUUAUAAUAUAAUAUAAUAUCGUCAUUACCGAUCUAGUCGAAAAUCUUAAUACUAAAGAACAAUCCUAUCAACCUAACCAAGAAGAAUGGUAAUAGAUCCAGGAGAUCUAUAACGCAAACUUCUUGCGGGGCGGGGAUAAGACAGAGAAUGGAACAUCUUCCAUAACUUAUAAAGGGUUCCUUCUGGUAGACUUCACUUCAAGUUCCUCAAUCCUAACUUGAUCAUCUUGUAGUGCUUCUGAGUAGAGUCUUCUGAUAGACGAAGAAUCAGACAAGAAGGGUUGAAGAUAAAAGAGACGAGUUUUGAUAUAAAGUUUUAAUGGAAGAAAUUAGACCAUGUUUUGAAAUACUGACUGGGCUUUCCAUUUCUAACUAAUCUAGCGACCUACGAUCACAUUGCUUUGAUACCACUUCUGUCACACCCGUUUCCCAAGGGGCAGAGCCGGGUGCAUAGCAUAUGUGUGCCAGGAUCUAUUUCCACACAUAUGUUGACGUCACAAGUGUAAUAUAUCAAAAGAACAAUGCAUAAGAGCGUAAAUAACGAUUAUAUUAACAUAUUACACUUCAAACAGACAUAAUGUCUUAACCUUUAUUCAUCAAAGUACAGCGAACAUGGACAUCCAUCCACAGGAAGAUGACCGGGGGUAUCACUAGACUAGCAUCCAUGGAGUUCAGCAUCAUAUCUUCAUCUGCAACUUCUGAUCAAAAUUAAGCAAGGGUGAGCUCACUUAUGGUCGGGGCUCAGCAAGUGGGGGAAAAACUAAUGCAAGUCUAACAUGGUGAGGCUGAGGUUGAGCAGUAAGCAUUUUAGUUGGUCAACAUUUUAUUAACAACACCUGUCUUACUAAUAAGUGUGAAUCCCAAGUAUUCCCAUUAACAAAGGUAUAAGAGUAUAUCAAAAACACUUAAGUGAAACCACUUAAGCAAAACCAUUGGCAGAUCAUCGGAUCUCGAUUUAUUUCCAUCUUCAAGUUCAAUUAUCAUGUGAGGAGUCCAGGCUGCUCAUAACCGUGAGCAUGGCUGAUAUAUCAGUUUUACACUCUGCAGAGGUGGCGCAUCUUUACCCAUGAGUCGCGAUUCCCUUCUAGCCCGGGUUAGCUAGACCCGUAUUCACUUCCGAGGUGAAUGGCCAGGGUCUCACUACGAGGCUUCUCCCUAGAGUCCUCAUUACGCAAAUGCUGGAAAUGGUCAAACUGCAUAAGGCACACCUACUGUAACCAACUUAUAGUCCAGACUACAGGGUAAAGCUUUGGGAAUUAUGCCCGUAUCCAAUCUGCCUGAGCCGGAACUAUAAGAGCUUGCUAGAUGCCCUCGUUCCUGUCGACCACGACCAGCACCCAACAUAAGAUUUCCCUAGUUAUUUAGCCAAGACCAGAGCCAUGAUAGUUCUCAUGGUAGCACUGUUUUCCCGGGUGGUCACUCCAUGUUCCAAUUAAUAUGCAAUAAUCUUGUUUAACCAUCGGGUUAACAACAAUAAUGUAAACUUACCAUUUUGGAACAUUAAAAUCAUAAGCGGGAGUGACUGCAUAAAGUUAAGUUGUAGCAAUAGCAUAGCUACGAAGGUAAAGUAUAAUUCCCAGGUUUGAUCAAGGAAUAAGGUUGGAAAGGUUAUCUAAAUAGGCAACCCGUCAAAUUAUGCAUAUACAUCCAAAAGAGUAAACUUUAUUAAAUGUAUUGUUUGGGAUCAAAUAGAGUAUGCAGAGGGAGAAGUCCACUUGCCUUGCUUAUUGAAAACUUGAGGUUCUUCCACGAAAUAUAUCUUGAUUCUCAACUAUUAGAUCAACCACUGAAUAUCACACAAACAAACAAGAAGAACAAACACCAUUCAAUAACAUACAACAAUCACCAUACGUAGAGCUAAAAGAAAGCCUAACGAAAAGAGCGUUUGCUUUUCAAAAACGUUGUAAGUAAUGGUUAUAAUUAAGAAGGUAUUCUUUUUAAAAAUGUGUGAUCUAUAAUUUAUAAAACAAGACAUAAGUUUAAAAAUAUCUUAAUUAAAAUAUACAAAUAUUAUGUUCACCAAAUUAAUCUUUUAUAAAUCGUCAUACGUGAUAUGUCUAAUAUUAAGGGUUUAUAAGACGAUAAAACACGUUAUAACAUUACUAAACCUUUUUAACCUUUUAGAACACAUAUAAGUUAUAUCUGAUAGUCGCCUAGAGGGGGGGGUGAAUAGGGCGAAACUGAAAUUCUCAAAAAUAAUCACAACUACAAGCCGGGUUAGCGUUAGAAAUAUAAUCAAGUCCGCAAGAGAGGGCACAAAACAAAUCGCAAGCGAAUAGUGAAGUGAGACACACGGAUUUGUUUUACCGAGGUUCGGUUCUCUCAAACCUACUCCCCGUUGAGGAGGCCACAAAGGCCGGGUCUCUUUCAACCCUUCCCUCUCUCAAACGGUCCCUCGGACCGAGUGAGCUUCUCUUCUCAAAUCAAAGCCGGGAAUAAAACUUCCCCCCGCAAGGGCCACCACACAAUUGGUGCCUCUUGCCUUGAUUACAAUUGAGUGUUGAUCACAAGAGCAAGUGAGAAAGAAAAGAAGCAAUCCAAGUGCAAGAGCUCAAAAGAACACGGCAAAUCUCUCUCUCUAAUCACUAAAGCCUUUUGUGGAAUUGGAGAGGAUUUGAUCUCUUUGGUGUGUCUAGAAUUGAAUGCCUAGCUCUUGUAAGUGGUUGAGAAGUGGAAAACUUGGAUGCAAUGAAUGGUGGGGUGGUUGGGGUAUUUAUAGCCCCAACCACCAAAUGUGGCCGUUGGGAGGCUGUCUGCUCGAUGGCGCACCAGACAGUCCGGUGCACACCGGACAUGUCCGGUGCCCCCGCCACGUCAUCACUGCCGUUGGAUUCUGACCGUUGAAGCUUCUGACUUGUGGGCCCGCCUGGGUGUCCGGUGCACACCGGACAACUCCUGUUCAUUGUCCGGUGCGCCGGAAUGGGCGCGCCUGCCUUCUGCGCGCGCAAAGCGCGCAUUAAAUGCGCUGCAGGUAGCCGUUGGCGCCGAGUAGCCGUUGCUCCGGGGUCGCACCGGACAGUCCGGUGCACACCGGACAUGUCCGGUGAAUUUUAGCGGACUAGCCGUUGGAGUUUCCCGAAGCUGGCGAGUUCCUGAGGCCGCUCUCCGUGGCGCACCGGACACUGUCCGGUGUACACCGGACAGUCCGGUGAAUUAUAGCGCGAGUACCUCUGGAAAUUCCUGAAGGUGGCGAGUUUGCGUUGGAGUCCUCUGGUGCACCAGACAUGUCCGGUGGCACACCGGACAGUCCGGUGCGCCAGACCAGAGGUGCCUUCGGUUGGCCCUUUGCUCCUUUGUUGAAUCCAAAACGUGAUCUUUUUAUUGGCUGAGUGUGAGCCUUUUACACCUGUAUAAUCUAUACACUUGGGCAAACUAGUUAGUCCAAUUAUUUGUGUUGGGCAAUUCAACCACCAAAAUUAUUUAGGAACUAGGUGUAAGCCUAAUUCCCUUUCAAUAUCUAAGGUUAAUGCGUUAUGAAAUACAUUGUUAUUUUAUGAAGCAUUAUGGAACCUAUAAUUCAUUGUUAAACCUAUCACUUAUGAUAAAUUAAGAUAUAAGUCUAAAUAGAUUUUAUGUGAAAAGGUCAUUAUUAUUAAACACCUAUUUAUGGAAAGUUAUGAUAUAUGCUUUAAUGAACUUUUAUGUAAAAGACAAUAAACAAACAAUUAUAUUUUAUUUUUAUUAUAAAGUACAUGUCCUAUAUUUUAUUAAGAAAGCCAUAUACAAAACAAUAUACAAACUAACAUUAUUAUUAUUAUUAAAGAACAUGAACACUAUUUUCAUUAGUUUAUUCUUUAGGAAAACUAAGUGAUAUAUAUAUAUAAAUAAUAUGGACUAAGUUUGAUUAAAUGAUUAACUAAGCAUAUAUAACCAGUUGUGAACAAUUUGUAAUAUAAAUCUAAUUAACUAGAUUAUGAGAGGACAUAAUUACUCUAUUGUUUAUCUUUACCUUUAGUUUAGAAACAUAUGAUCUAGAUAUUUAAAAUGAAAAUUAUAUUCAUUGGUAUGUUAUUAACUAUUGUUUUAGUUCUAACGGUGUGAGCAUUUAAUUAAGCCAUUAUAUCGUUAUUAGAAAAGUUAUAUGACAUAUUACUAUUGUAAAGCAUAUAAUUAUGGAUACUUAAAUAUGAGACCAAAUGAGUUUUAUGUGAAGGGAUAAUAAAUGAUUAUCAUUCUAUUAGGAAAACACUAAAUCUAUAUUUGUUGAGAAAACUACAUUGAACCCGAUAGGUUUUAAAGACAUGAACACCAAUUCUAUCAUUUUAGUUACGUGGGUGCAUUAAGCUAUAUUAAUAUUAUUGGAAACCCCAAUUUGGCAUAUACGUAUUUAAAUAUAAAAUACUUGAAUAUAAAUCUAAAUCAUAAAAAAGUAAUUAUAUAGUUGUUUAUUUAGUACGAUUGAUUAGAAAAUAUGAUCUACAAUUCUUUUUAAUUUCAUACUUAGAAAACUAUGCAUAAAUUAAUUAUAACGGUCACAAAUCAUAUUUAAAUUAUGAACAGUUGGAAACACCUACUAAAAAUGCUUAUCAUACAAUCGUGAAACUAACGACACUAUUUCUAUUUAGGUUCCAAAUAUACAUGUUAUUAACAAAAACUGUAACAAGGACUAAAACAUAAUUAAAGGUAGACUAGAAGGGGUAGCUCGUAAAUUUAUAUUUUUUUAUACAAAUGUCAUUAUAAAUAAUUAUCUCUUAUUUUUGGUUGAAAACAUAAAGCUAUAAUUCUUAUUAUUUCUUGUUUGAAAAAUAUAACAAUCAUAAUUCAAAUAUUAACGAAACAUGUAAAAUGUUGCAAACACUAAUUUUAAAUGUGUAUCACAAAUUUAUGAAGCUGACAAAUCAAUAUUUACUUUAUUUGGGUUUUAAAUACGUAUUUAAAAUAUGAAACCUAUCGCAUGUAUCUACACGUAAUUAAACAUACAUAUGAAGAGGGUAGCUGGUAAAAUGUUCGUCUUUUUCUACCUUGGUUCGGCGACGGGGAUGGAUUUAUAGCGACAAUAAGGAGGGCACCAACAGGGAAGUCGACGAUGUGGUCAAGUCGCAGCGAACAGCAGCACGAAGGGUGUGGUCGUUGCGCAGUGAUAAAAUUCGUUGAACGACGAAUGGCGAUGACGUCGGGCGAGCAGUUACAACAGUGUCAAGCGACAACAAACCAGCAAACCAGGUGGCUGACUUCUCGACGCAUGCAGCAGGAGUUUCGGCGAGGUAUUGCGCAGCACGGUGGCAAGCAGAGAUACGCAGCAAUGGCGGGCAACAGCUUACGCGGCGCAGAGUCACAAACGAGGAGUCGACGACGACGGUGGUGCUGCUGCGCGCGUAGGCAGGGGUUCUUGACGAGGUGCUGCGUGGAUGACGAGGCUCCA